rnacentral:rRNA from 1 species
AUGGUGAAGGAUGUCCAUGAGCCAUCGAACGGCGUGUCUCUGAACAGUUCGCCUUCGCAAAGUAUUGUUAAUUCAGAAAAGGUUAAUCCUGGACAAAUUCCAGAGUUGACAUGGGAACACAAGCUAAGCCAUGUUAGAUAUGAUUUGCCGUCAUUUGGACUUACAUGGAGGGAGAUACGGCAGAUGGCUGGUCUUGGUUUGCGUCUUGGUCGACACAUCCUUGAGGAAACUUCAAAAGGACGAACUGCUAUUAUUGAUCCCAUGAAGAAGCGCACUGCAAGAUCUGGUCAGGGUGUUCCACUUGGAGGCAUUGGUGCAGGAAGUAUUGGAAGAAGCUGCAAAGGCGAGUUUCAACGCUGGCAAUUGUUCCCCGGAGCCUGUGAAGAUAAGCCAGUAAUGGCAAAUCAAUUUUCUGCCUUCAUUUCCCGCAAAGACAGUGCAAAAUAUUCGACAGUGUUGCAUCCUGGGAAACCGGAUUUGCCAAAAGGAACUAACGUUUCAGGAAUUGGAUCCUGGGAUUGGAAUCUGAAUGGGCAGAAAUCUACUUAUCAUGCACUUUACCCUAGGGCCUGGACUGUUUAUGAUGGAGAACCUGACCCGGAUCUCAAGAUAAUGUGCCGUCAGAUUUCUCCAAUUAUUCCACACAAUUAUCAACAGAGCAGUUAUCCUGUUGCAGUAUUCACUUUCACAGUAACUAAUUCAGGAACCACAGCUGCUGAUGUGACUUUGCUUUUUACAUGGGCUAACUCUGUUGGUGGAAAAUCUGAACUCACAGGAUACCAUUCUAAUUCUAGUAUGACAGAAAAGGAUGGCGUGCAUGGUGUACUGUUACACCACAGAACAGCUGAUGGACUGCCACCAGUAACUUUCGCCAUAGCUGCACAAGAGAAAGAGGGUGUUCAUAUCUCUGAAUGCCCUUACUUUAUGAUGUCCGGUAGCUCUGAUGAAUUCACAGCAAAAGAUAUGUGGAACUCAGUGAAAGAGCAUGGAUCUUUUGAUCUGCUUGAUCCUGUCAAUUCAUCAACGUCCUCCAAACCAGGAACAUCAAUAGGAGCAGCUAUUGCAGCUUCAGUUAAGCUUGCUCCUCAGGCAACUCAGAAUGUUUCAUUUUCACUUGCAUGGGCUUCCCCUGAAGUAAAGUUCUGCAGUGGAAAAACCUACCAUAGGCGUUAUACAAAAUUCUAUGGCACAGAUGUCGAUGCAGCUGCAAGCCUUGCCCGUGAUGCCAUUCUUAAUCAUAGUUCCUGGGAGAUGCAAAUUGAGGAUUGGCAGCAUCCUAUUUUGCAAGACAAGAGGUUUCCUGAAUGGUAUCCAGUCACACUAUUCAAUGAACUUUAUUAUCUUAAUGCCGGAGGAACUAUAUGGACAGAUGGAUUACCACCAAUUCAAAGUUUAACAGCAAUUGGAGGGAAAAAGUUCUCCCUUGACAUGUCAAAUGGAGAAACAGAUGAUGACAAUGAGAUGAACCCACAGACUAAUACUGCCGCUGACAUUCUUCAUCAAAUGGCAUCAGUACUUGAGAGAAUUCAUGCAUCUCUUGCAUCAAAUUCUGCUAUAGGAACAACUUUGCUUCAGGGUGAAGAGAACAUUGGCCAAUUUCUCUACCUUGAGGGAAUUGAAUACUAUAUGUGGAACACAUAUGAUGUUCAUUUCUAUUCAUCUUUUUCACUUAUCAUGCUAUUUCCAAAACUUCAACUCAGCGUUCAGAGAGACUUCGCUGCAGCUGUCAUGAUGCACGACCCUGAAAAGCUCAAGCUCUUACAUGAUGGAAAAUUGGCGGCAAGAAAAGUUCUUGGAGCUGUUCCUCACGAUCUUGGUCUAUAUGACCCUUGGUUCAAAGUGAACGCAUACACACUCCAUAACACAGACCGUUGGAAGGACUUGAACCCAAAGUUUGUAUUGCAAGUUUACAGAGAUGUUGUGGCCACAGGCGAUAAAUCCUUCGCCCGAGCUGUUUGGCCAUCUGUUUAUAUGGCGAUGGCAUAUAUGGAACAAUUUGAUAAAGAUAAAGAUGGAAUGAUUGAAAAUGAGGACUUCCCAGAUCAAACUUAUGAUGUUUGGUCCAUGGCUGGUGUAAGCGCAUACUGUGGUGGUCUUUGGGUGGCUGCUCUUCAGGCUGCGUCGGCCUUGGCACACGAAGUUGGUGACAAAGCUUCUGAAAAGCUUUUCUGGAACAAGUAUGAGAAGGCUAAAUCUGUUUAUGACAAGAAGCUGUGGAAUGGUUCUUACUUCAAUUAUGAUGAUGCUGGCACUAAAGCUAGUACCUCCAUUCACGCUGAUCAGUUGGCUGGACAAUGGUAUGCCAAAGCCUGCGGCCUCUCCUCAAUUGUUGACAAGGACAAAUCACAAAGUGCACUUGAAAAGAUAUAUACUUUCAACGUAAUGAAGUUCAAGGAUGGUAACAGGGGAGCAAUCAAUGGGAUGUGGCCAGAUGGUACAUUGGACAUGUCCACAAUGCAAUCUAGGGAGAUAUGGCCAGGCGUGACAUACGCGCUUGCUGCAUCUAUGAUUCAAGAAGGCAUGGUUGAGGAGGGUUUCAAAACAGCUGAAGGAGUCUAUCAUGCUGCCUGGUCUUCAGAAGGACUUGGAUACGCAUUCCAAACUCCUGAAUCUUGGAACAAUGACGAUGAGUACCGGUCCUUGUGCUACAUGCGCCCACUCGCCAUAUGGGCGAUACAGUGGGCACUCUCAAAUCCAAAGCUCCACAAGGAGCCUCCGACAGACAUAACACAAGAUUCUUUUCCGAAGAACCAGUUCUCAUAUGCACGAAUAGCGAAGCUCCUGCAGUUACCUGAAGAUGAAUCGUCCAAGAGCGUCCCUCGGGUUAUCUAUGAGAUAGUCCGGAACAGGUUUACUUCAUGA